AACCGCGUAGGCAGCGUGAAUCAUUCGUCGGCAGCCGAUCUUCGAACCUCGUUCAGCGUCUGAGCGCGCGAUCGCAGCGACGACAACGGCGGCGGCUGCGGCGACGAAAACGAAGAUGGCGGCGGCGGCGUCGGAAUUGCAGAAAUCACGCUUCUUAAUUAAUCUCCGAGCGAGCGAACUUCGUCCGGGCGAUGGACCGAUAAGGCGCACGUGAACGAGCACGGGGGCGGCAACGAAAUAACGUCUACCGAGUGUGUUUGCUCGCACAUAGCGAACGCUGCUUGCAGGGUAAUGUCUUCAUUUCGACCCUCGCGCGAGCGCGCGCUUUCUCCUCCGUCUGUCUUUUUCCUUCUCGCUUAUGCGCGCGGAUUAAAAAUAUAUGCCGUGUAUCUGCUGCGAAGACUGUAAUUAAACGUCGGCGUGUUACAUCACGGCGAAAAUAAUCGACGCACGCGCGAUUGCGUCCUGGCGGAUUCGGAGCAUUCGACGGAUAAACAUUGCUUAAUAAACAAAGAGCGCAUUGUUACGUACGACGCGGCGAGACGCGCGACAAGAAAGAGAGAGAGAGAGAGAGCGAGAAAGAGAAACACGGGUGUCGCUCCGGUGCAAUAAAAAUAUCGCGUUAUUUACGCGUCGAGCGUGCGAGCGUUGAAAACAAGGCGUUCAAGAGCCGAUUUGUAAUGAGAGCGCGAUUGAGGGACAAGUUGAGAGAUUACUAGCAGAGAGGACGAAAGAGAGAGCAUCGUUUCGUAAAACCGAUCGAUCAUCCCGGAAUGUAAAAGGAUGGCGCGCGUAAUGGCCGCCAUUUCGGAAGGAUCCGCCGCGGCGAAAACGGACUACGAAAGAGAAGUUGCUGCGUUGGAUCGCGUCUCAAUCCUUGAUUCGACCCUCCGCGACAUCGCCUCAACGGCGACUAUUUAUCGCUGACCUGCCAGCGGAAAUUUGGCAACGACUUACUAGGGCAAUGAUGCUGUACCCUCGAUGCUUUACGCGCGCUCAUCACGAUCAUCGCGUCGAAAUCGACCGUUCUCCUUCGCACGAAACAAAGUAAACAUUUUCCGUCGAAAGAGAUCCUCGAUCGAUCGUGGGUGGCCGCACAUUCGUUACGGCGACUUCCGGUAUAUCGUGCCGGUAGCGGCCAGACAGAAACACCGGGGCAGGUCUACCAGCAGAAACUGGGAUUUGGAUAGCGGAAUGUGGCCAGCUCUGAGUUCCGGACGGUUCGGUGAUAAAUACAGAAAAAAUAUAUAAAAAUUCAAAGCAGUAGGUUUUUGUAGUAUCUCGUUGGAAUCAGUUAUUUUGCCUAUAGAUUUACGUUUACGUUUGUGUGUGUUAAUUAAAACUUAAUGAAAGUAAUAUUAAA